rnacentral:piRNA from 1 species
GUGCUUGCUAUUUUGGGUUCGA